GCCUAGCUGGCUCAGUCAGUAAAGCAUGUGACUCAGUCUUGGGGGUGUGAGUUCAAGUCCCAUGCUGGGUA
rnacentral:tRNA from 1 species